rnacentral:rRNA from 1 species
GAUGAACGCUAGCUACAGGCUUAACACAUGCAAGUCGAGGGGCAGCAUGAACUUAGCUUGCUAAGUUUGAUGGCGACCGGCGCACGGGUGAGUAACACGUAUCCAACCUGCCGAUGACUCGGGGAUAGCCUUUCGAAAGAAAGAUUAAUACCCGAUGGCAUAGUUCUUCCGCAUGGUAGAACUAUUAAAGAAUUUCGGUCAUCGAUGGGGAUGCGUUCCAUUAGGUUGUUGGCGGGGUAACGGCCCACCAAGCCUUCGAUGGAUAGGGGUUCUGAGAGGAAGGUCCCCCACAUUGGAACUGAGACACGGUCCAAACUCCUACGGGAGGCAGCAGUGAGGAAUAUUGGUCAAUGGACGAGAGUCUGAACCAGCCAAGUAGCGUGAAGGAUGACUGCCCUAUGGGUUGUAAACUUCUUUUAUACGGGAAUAAAGUGAGGUACGUGUGCCUUUUUGUAUGUACCGUAUGAAUAAGGAUCGGCUAACUCCGUG